UCUAAGAGCCUGCAAGGCUACGCGUACGGACAUCUCGCUCUGUUCGAACAGUUCCUCGAAGUUGCGUUUGCAUAAUGCAGUUCGCGUAGUUCGCGAACCAGUGGCGAGUAUCGCGCGGAACGAAGGACGCGCGUUGAUUAGUCAUCGAUGAUCGUUAAUUCUCUGUCGUCGGUAUUUAAAACCAAGAACCAGCUUGCUUCCAUCAGAGUCGGGCGUUAUUCGAAUUGUUUCGAAUAAAUAUUUAUCAAAUAUAAUUAUUCGAAUGAAUUGUUUUUAGUGGUUAAACUUUUUCUUCGGGGGUUUCUAUCUUUUUUUUACUUUGAGUUGACGAAUUUCCAGCAUUUUCAGCGAGAAAACCGACGCCUUUUUAGUCGAAAAGGAAAAGGUCGCUUGAAAUGACCUUGGGAAGUACCCUAUUUCCCAGAAGUGCCAUAAUUUUGAGACUUUCCUUUAAAGCGAAUAAAAUCCAAAUAAAAUCCAAACAAAAUUGUGCUCAAAAUUGUUGCAACACUAAUGCAAAGAAAGCUUCGAGGAUAGAUUGUUCGUUUGUUUCAUAUUAAAUUUUAACUUGUAAAAAUUGAAGAUCCAUGUACAGUGGCGUCAAAGAGUAAGAGAUUCUCAACUUGAUAAUUUAUUAUGCAAGGCAUGCUAGUUGAAUAAUUCACAUAGCCUCGGAAGGAAGACUGCGAUGAUUUCUGAAGAAACUAGAAAUAUUAUAUUAUAAUAAAUAGAAAUAUAAUAUUAUAAUAUAUUAAAUAUAAAAUAUUAAAAUAUAAAUAUAAUAUUAUAAUAAAAUAAUAAUAAUAAUAAUUGCGAGAACUCGGUGGAAGAGUACAGUAUUUAGCAACGCGUUAUAGCAUGUCAUCGUCGUAAAGUACGUUGUACCUUGGGACGUUCGAAGGAAACGUUCGUUCCCGCAUAUUUCAGGCGCGUACAGAACGUAGAAACAAAUUGCGAGGGAAAUUACGGUAAAUCGUGAAAGUUCUCAACGAGCGCGCUUCACAAUUUCAAUAAUCUGAUGUAAUUAGAAACAAGUUUCUUUCACCACCGAAACGCGUUUAAUGAUAUACUCGAAAUGAACAGCACUUAAGCACGCAAGAAAAAUAACAGGGAAACUGAAGAGGGCAAUGGGGAAGUGCAAUUAAACUGCGGUUCGGCAGAGUCGUGGAGAUACCGCAUUCUUGGGGAAAACGAAUGCGAAAUGUAAACCGGAGAAUAUUCGAUUAUAAAUUGAAGCUAAUUUUUUAAUUCAGUGGCAAAUCGUUAUGGAAAGACCGAAUCUACAACGUUUACAAAUUGUGAACAUUUAUCUCGUGAAUUUUAUUAUACUAACUGUAUUAACUGUAACUAAAUUUUGAACAACAUUUACUCGACUCGAUGAGAAACCAGAAACGAGAUAAAGAAUUGUACGCACAGAAGAAAAUAUCGGUGCUGUAAGUGACAAUGUGUGUCGGAGAACAGAGACAGAGUCAAGAGUUCUUCUCUCAUAAUUUUGUUUUAUUUAAUAAAUGUCGAAUAAAAUUUUACUCGAAAUA